UCGCCUACGGCGUCAUCACCGUUUUCGACCAUGAGGCGGCGGUCGUCCGCAGGGGAUGCGGGGGCGCUUCCGGGCUUCGCGACAUACCCGCGGCGCGCAUCUCGAGUUGUAGCUCACUUGCUCGCCCACAAGAUGGCAGACACGGCAAUCGCUCAGCCGGGCUGGCCAAACAACAAGGAUGAAUACGAAUUAGGUCCCGUUAUAGGUGUUGGUGCAACAGCAGCUGUGCAUGAAGCACUCUGCAUACCCCGGCAAGAGAAAUGUGCAAUAAAAAGGAUCAACUUGGAGAAAUGGAAUACGAGUAUGGAUGAGCUGUUG